rnacentral:lncRNA from 1 species
ACAACAUAACCUGAAAUAACGCACAUAACUUACCAUCGACAAGAAUAGAUACUAACGCAGUUUAGACCAUCGAAGAAAAACCCACUUCUCCACAGCCUUUUCCUACACAAAAUUUCACAUGAAUAAAAUCCCCUAUCUACAUCACUACGCUACUACGAAAAAGAAUAAACCAAUAGCUUACCCAAAUUAUAAAAAUGCCAAGUUCUAAAGUGCAACGUAAAGAACAAAAGAUGUAAACAGAUUUGAAGGGGAAAGAAAACGAGAGAAAGAAUCAAAGAUGUAGAGAAGGAGAACAAGAAGGAAACAUCAGAAAGAAUGGAGAAACUAACGUUAGAAUUUUUUCUUGGGAAGAGAGAGAAAAGAAGAAAAACAAAAACAAAAUAAAAUAAAAUAAGCUAAAAUCCCUCAAUCCCCCAAAUUAAGGCAUGAUCUCCUAUCAACCUAAUCCCAACUACCCACUAUCUCAUCCACUUAUACAGACUUCCAAACCCAUCCAAACUCUCU